UGGGGGAUAUUGCACAAUGGGCGAAAGCCUGAUGCAGCGACGCCGCGUGGGGGAUGAAGGCCUUCGGGUUGUAAACUUCUUUUGCUCUGAACAAGGCAUGCUAAUGGGUGUGUUGAGUGUAGGGGUUGAUUAGCGCCGGCUAACUACGUGCCAGCAGCCGCGGUAAUACGUAGGGCGCGAGCGUUGUCCGGAAUUAUUGGGCGUAAAGGGCUUGUAGGUGGCUGGUUGCGUCUGUCGUGAAAGCUCAUGGCUUAACUGUGGGUUUGCGGUGGGUACGGGCUGGCUUGAGUGCAGUAGGGGAGUCUGGAAUUCCUGGUGUAGCGGUGGAAUGCGCAGAUAUCAGGAGGAAUACCGGUGGCGAAGGCGGGUCUCUGGGCUGUUACUGACACUGAGGAGCGAAAGCAUGGGGAGCGAACAGG
rnacentral:rRNA from 1 species